ACAAAACAGUGGAGGAGGGGUGAAUUUGGUCUCCGCCUGGGUGGAGGAGGGGUGAAUUUGGUCUCCGCCUGGGCCAGGACGUCCAUCUUCUGCCCUCGGACAACAGCGUUCCUGGUUUUCAGACUUUCAGACCUGGACUGAACUAUGCCACCACCUUUCCUUGCUCCCCAGCUUCCAGAUGGCAGGUCAUAGGACUUCUUGGCCUCCUUAAUCACAGACAAUUAGAGGUUUAAACUCUGGAAUGUGUGUUCUUCAAAGCAAAAGAAAAUGCACACAGAUCCAUUGGGCUCAACGUGACCUUCAGUCAAGGGCUUCUGAAUUGUCUUCAAAGGAGGAAAAUAGGGCGUUGUGCAUCACUCUCAGGAUAGUUUAAUCGUGAACUGAACUUCACAUAAAAGCAAAGCACCUUAAGAUGCUCCUCCUCGGGGCACCUGUGUGGCUCAGUCGGUUAAGCUGCCAACUUCAGCUCAGGUCAUGAUCUCGCGGUCUGUGAGUUCAAGCCCCGCGUCAGGCUCUGUGCCGACA